AUACAAGGUGAUGCCACAACACAAAAGAAGGGACAAAGUCAAUAAAAAUCAAACAAAGAACCCAAGCAGAAGCGUAAUCUUGCAACAGGCGAGAGCUGCACCCGGAAGCAAGGAUGGAACGGGAGCGGCCCCAUUGAUCAAUGGCCUCCCAAUGGAAAGAAACACAUCUGCCCAGCAGGGCUGGAACUCCACCAUGCAAGAGUAACAGCUGGGGCCAUUGAGCAGAUACAAUCCAGGAUGCUCGAGAACUGCCGAGAACAUCAAUUGAGACAGAAGCGCUUCAGGUGUGGCCCCUGGACCAGCAGCAUCCACCUCACCUGGGAACAUG
rnacentral:lncRNA from 10 species